rnacentral:rRNA from 1 species
UACGUAGGGUGCAAGCGUUGUCCGGAAUUAUUGGGCGUAAAGAGCUCGUAGGCGGUCUGUCACGUCGGCUGUGAAAAACCCGAGGCUCAACCUCGGGCCUGCAGUCGAUACGGGCAAACUAGAGUACUGCAGGGGAGACUGGAAUUCCUGGUGUAGUGGUGAAAUGCGUAGAUAUCGGGAGGAACACCAGUGGCGAAGGCGACUAUCUGGGCUGCAACUGACGCUGAGGCGCGAAGGCUAGGGUAGCAAACAGG